UGAUAGACACAGAAAAUAGAGCAUCUGCCUAGAAACUGGACAGUGCUUGAAGAGGAAAAGCCUAGGGACUGCUAACAACAUCCUGCAAGGCUAUAGUAUGUUUAUCUAUUGGUGAAAUUGUUCCACUACAUACCGCCAGGACUCUUGGUGAUAACAAGAAAGAGAAGGUUUUUAUUAGCAGGAGAGUUUGCAGAACUGAGGAUAAUAACUUAGUGGAUGAUCUCUUAUGCACCACUGGCUGCCAGCUCUGUGGUUCCCCCUUAGAUUCAAAAUUUGAGCAAAAUGCUGUUCCACUGAUCUGUUGGAAAACUUCAAGCCGCCUUCACUCUAUAUGCUGGAUAUAUAGGCCCUUCUUGCUAUACGUCUGGGAUGAAUCAGAUUACAUGCCAAUUCUUGUUAAGAACAGGGCCGAAGAAAUCUUGUUUGGAAACAUCAAGACUGGAAAAGUAUAUUCAGCUUAUAAAGAACAAACGCAGAACCAAAAUCUUGGUCCUAGUAAUGAAUGCAAGGAUAAAGAUGCCAGUGAAAGACUUGCUAUUAAUCCAAGACCUUCUGGGGAAGGACUUCCGAGUGCCAAUACAUUAGAUGUUGGUAAGAGCUUGCAAUUGCAGGAAAAACAUCUUCCUGAUAAGUUCAACUUUUACUGUGUAUGAUUAAUUCUUCUGAAAAUGUUGCUGAAACAAGGAAAGAACGGCCCUCUGAAAUUUGAGAUCAUUGUUGGUCCCAGCUUAGAUAUUGAAAAUGGAAAUUUUGAACGGGUUUCUGCAA